rnacentral:rRNA from 1 species
GAUGAACGCUGGCGGCGUGCUUAACACAUGCAAGUCGAACGGUGAAGGCGGAGCUUGCUCUGCUGGAUCAGUGGCGAACGGGUGAGUAACACGCGAGCAAUCUGCCCCUGACUCUGGGAUAAGCGCUGGAAACGGCGUCUAUUACUGGAUACGAGCUGCGAAGGCAUCUUCAGCAGCUGGAAAGAACUUCGGUCAGGGAUGAACUCGCGGCCUAUCAGCUUGUUGGUGAGGUAACGGCUCACCAAGGCGUCGACGGGUAGCCGGCCUGUGAGGGUGACCGGCCACACUAGGACUAAGAGACAGCCCAGACGCCUACGGUAGGAAACAGUGGGGAAUAUUGCACAAUGGGCGAGAGCCAGAUGCAUCAACUCCGCGUGAGGGACGACGGCCUUCGGGUUGUAAACCUCUUUUAGCAGGGAAGAAACUAAAGUGACGGUACCUGCAGAGAAAGCGCCGGCUAACUACGUG